UCGCCCGUUGUUUUGUUGUGGUAUGAUCGGGAAACUGUUAUAGGUUAUUUAUAUCUUGCUCUCAUGUUGUAGUCUUUCCAAAAUCACGUGAGAAUGUCCUAGGAGUAAGCACACGCAAUGAGGGCGAGUUUGAAAUUCCUUGACAAUUAUUGGCAAGGCCAAGCGAAUCCUCGGUCAUAGGUAGACACAGGUAAUCGUUGAAUAUUACCGAGUCAAUUCACAGGUGAGCAGAACAUCACAAAAUGGCAGACGGGACCGGAUCGCAGACGAGUCCCGGCGCGGAGAACUCGCACCACAAGUACCUGUACCUGACCGUCGACCCGCAGAGCGGUGCCGGGAAGCUUACCGCGUCGGGGAAACCCAACGGAGCGGCGGCAGCAGCGGCGGCGGCGGCGCACGCCUGCGACCAACCCGCCGAGCACAUCUGCUACAAGUGCGGCGUCGCGUUCCUGACGCGCGACAGCCUGCAGACGCACGUCGACGCACACGCCACAUACGAGUCGAUGCGCUACAGCUGCGGCAUGUGCCUCAGCCAGCUGCCGUCGCUGCAGACAAUGAUCGAGCACACCAAGGUCGUCGUGUGCACGCAGUGCAACAUGGCGUAUCCGUGUGUGCGGCACGCGCGCGCACACAUGAAGUGCCACCCGGCGCGCGGGCCGCGCGUCUCCAUACCGCGCGUCAACUCAACGGUGCCGACGCCCGCGCCAACGCCGCCGCUGGCGCCACCUGCGCAGAUGCUGCAGAGCGCGCCGGCGGUGUCGUCGAGUCGGAUCAUCUCGAUCACGCCACGGUCGACCGUCGUCGGCGAGCAGGCGGGCAUGGUGGCGCCACUAAACUUGCAGACUAGGAGCGCCGCGUACGGGCGUCCGACCUCUAGUCAACCUCAGGUCGUCGCUACCGACUCCCUUCCCGUUGCCGAGGUGAUGAUCACCGUGAAGCCAGACCCUGAUGCGCCGACGUCAGCCUCCCACGUUGCCGACGGCAGCCCAGACGGCGGGCCGACGGGCGAGGAUGGCGACGACGGCGACGCACAUGGCAAGCCGCACCGCUGCAACAACUGCGGCAUCUCGUACAAGCACGCGAACCACCUCAGCAACCACAUGAAGACGCACACGCAGGACCUGCCCUACAAAUGCCACAUAUGCGGUCUGGGAUUCGUCGUGAACUUCAAGUACCAGCGGCACAUGCAAAAGUUUCAUAGCGGCGAGACGAUGCACGAUCGGCCCUUCAAGUGCGACGUGUGCGGCUCGGGCUUCAAGCAGCGUAAUCACCUUGUGCAGCACAACAGAACCCAUACCGGAGAGAAACCCUAUAAGUGCGGAGUCUGCGGAACAGCAUUUGCGCUCCUGGGCAAUCUCAACUACCACAUGCGUAUCCAUGGAAACCUGAAGCCAUACAACUGCGAUGUCUGCUGCCAGUCAUUCCGCUCCUCCACGCAUUUGAAGCACCACUUCUCACGCAUCCACAAAGGCAUCGUUAAUCGCAACUAUUCGAAAACUAGUCAAGGUGCCUCACAGCCGGCCGACAUCGCUCUCUUCCCGACGAAUCUCGUGAACCCGCUCGAAGGAAACCCGAUCGACGCCAACGACAGCUCGGAGGAUGCUGCCGAGCCGUCUGGUCGCCACGGCGACGGCGACGACGAGCUCAUGGAGGCAGAGCACGACGACGAGGAUAGCAAGAUUCUGCAGGAGAUCCUGCGCGAGGGCGAGGUGCCGGAUAUAGCUGGCUCGGUGUAGCACGCGCGUGAGAGGUAGCGUGCAUGUGGGAGUUAUUGUCUAGCACAAUGUGACGCUCACGUGGGAGGGACUGUCCAGUUUGGUGUAGUGCACACGUAGGAGGCAUGACCAAUAUGAUGUGACACACACGUGGGAGGUACUGUCCAUUUCGAUGUAGUGCACACGUGGGAGGUACUGACCAGCACGAUGUGAUGCGCACGUGGGGGCACUGACCAUCACAAUGUGACACACACGUGUGAGGCAAUGUCCAGUUAAAUCUGACACGCACAUUGGAGGUACUGUUCAGCACGAUGUGACACGCACAUUGGAGGUACUGUCCAGCACGAUGUGACGCGCACGUGGGAGGUAAUGACCAGCACGAUGUGACACGCACGUGGGAGGUAAUGACCAGCACGAUGUGACACUCACGUGGGAGGUACUGACCAGCACGAUGUGACACGCACGUGGGAGGUACUAUCCAGCACGAUGUGACACGCACGUGGGAGGUACUGUUCAGCACGAUGUGACGCGCACGUGGGAGGUACUAUCCAGCACGAUGUGACGCGCACGUGGGAGGCACUGUCCAGCACGAUGUGACGCGCACGUGGGAGGCACUGUCCAGCACGAUGUGACACGCACGUGGGAGGUACUGACCAGCACGAUGUGACGCGCACGUGGGAGGUACUGACCAGCACGAUGUGACACUCGCGUGGGAGGUACUAUCCAGCAUGGUGUGACGUCGCGUGGGAGGAAUGUGUACUCGUUGGUGCAAUCUAAUGCAUAUAGGGAAGAUGCUGUCGCUAUGUAGCGCGAAUGGAAUGUCAUAGUGUGGCGUGAGCUAACGUGGAAGGUACCACUGCGACGUAGCGAUCACGUGCAAGGUUCUGUCACUAAACAGCGUGCAAGUAGUGAGUGCUGAUGCAGUCUACUGUGCACAUGGGGUAAUCCUGGAUCUAACUUGUCGACCGUAAUAUACGUGUGCGAAGUGCAUAGCCAAGUUUACUUGCGAAUCCAACGAACACACAAAUCUGUUAUCAUAAUGCGUAUGCUUGAAUAUUAUGUAUGAUCUAUAUGAAUUGUGUAUAAUAUAUACACUAGAUUUAUAUAUAUUUUUGAAUGUUAAAACAAGAUCGACUAAAUAUGUAGUUCAGUCAGUACAGUCGCACAUGUCAGUUUGUGAGCUUGUGAGUUUGUGAGCAGAUUUGAAUGGAUGUAUGUUUUUGCGAACUAACACGUUCGCUGUGUGUUGCAUGUUAGGGCAAACAUACACUCUGAGUCUCCACCCACACACGUUUCAAUACGAUUCAAAUACGUUUACCUACCUGUAUGUGAAACCCGCCAGGUAGUUUCCUAGCAUGUUUCGUAUGUUUGGAAUAGAUAGCAAACAUGUUUGCCUAGUGAAACGCGGUUUGGGUGCCGUGUGUUUUAGUAAAUUAUCAAAGGAUUAUUAGUUCGAUAUGUUGCAUUUUAGUGAUGCGUGUAGAGUUGUACCGACAGUCAUUUCAUAUUGUCAUACACCACCAAAUGUAUAUAUUUAUUAAUGUUUAUCUUUAAAUCUCAGUAAAAUGUGGACAUGUAAAUUCAGUAGCACUUUAUUGUGUAAGUGAUUGUUUUAUGUUUUAUGUUUUGUGUUAAGGUUGGAUGGAAGAAUCCUUUUGUAUCAUCGCGUUUUUAAAAGGUUUAAAUAGGCUGAUUUGACUGUAUAUCUGAACACAUAAUCAAGUAUUCUGUAUAAAGCUGCGCCAGUGCUGAGUAGCAUAAUAAAGCACGAGGUCAAUAAAGUAAGUAGGUUGAUUUAUGUCUAGUAGCGUACCGGUAUUCAUGUUAUUAUAUAUAUGUAUGUAUAUGGAUAUAAUGGUACAUGUGAUUUAGAUCUUUGUUAGAUGUCAUUGUUUUGUGGAUUAAUAAUAAUGUCGUGCCAACCGAA
rnacentral:misc_RNA from 1 species